rnacentral:rRNA from 1 species
UCCUUCGGGAAUGGGGACAGCGGCGAACGGGUGAGUAACACGUGGGUAAUCUGCCCUCGAUUCUGGGAUAGCCCGGGGAAACCCGGAUUAAUACCGGAUAGCCUCUCGAGCUUUCGAGCUCGUGAGAAAAGGUAGCUUCGGCCUCCGAUCGAGGAUGAGCCCGCGGCGGAUUAGCUUGUUGGUGGGGUAAUGGCCUACCAAGGCGACGAUCCGUAGCUGGUCUGAGAGGACGAUCAGCCACACUGGGACUGAGACACGGCCCAGACUCCUACGGGAGGCAGCAGUGGGGAAUCUUGCGCAAUGGGCGAAAGCCUGGCGCAGCGACGCCGCGUGGGGGAAGAAGGCCUUCGGGUUGUAAACCUCUUUCAGCAGGGACGAAGCCACUCGGGUUAAUAGCCCAGAGGGUGACGGUACCUGCAGAAGAAGCCCCGGCUAACUACGUGCUAGCAGCCGCGGUAAUACGUAGGGGGCAAGCGUUGUCCGGAUUUAUUGGGCGUAAAGAGCGUGUAGGCGGCCAGACAGGUCCGUU